UACGUAGGGUGCGAGCGUUGUCCGGAAUUACUGGGCGUAAAGAGCUCGUAGGUGGUUUGUCGCGUUGUUCGUGAAAUCUCACGGCUUAACUGUGAGCGUGCGGGCGAUACGGGCAGACUAGAGUACUGCAGGGGAGACUGGAAUUCCUGGUGUAGCGGUGGAAUGCGCAGAUAUCGGGAGGAACACCAGUGGCGAAGGCGGCACUCUGGGCCGGUACUGACGCUGAGGAGCGAAAGCGUGGGGAGCGAACAGG
rnacentral:rRNA from 1 species